CGAGCGGCGGACGGGUGAGUAAUGCUUGGGAACAUGCCUUGNGGUGGGGGACAACAGUUGGANACGNCUGCUAAUNCCGCAUAAUGUCUACGGACCAAAGGGGGCUUCGGCUCUCGCCUUUAGAUUGGCCCAAGUGGGAUUAGCUAGUUGGUGAGGUAAUGGCUCACCAAGGCGACGAUCCCUAGCUGGUUUGAGAGGAUGAUCAGCCACACUGGGACUGAGA
rnacentral:rRNA from 1 species